rnacentral:tRNA from 1 species
CCCUGGUGGCUCAAACGGUAAAGAAUCUGUCUACAAUACAGGAGACCCAGGUUCAAUCCCUGGAUCAGGAA